rnacentral:tRNA from 1 species
AGUAAAGAAGUAAAAUACAAUUUAAAUUCGACUUAAACUUAGAGAAUAAUUUUCUCCUUACUC